AUGGGAGCUUGCUCCUGGAUUAGUGGCGAACGGGUGAGUAACACGUGAGUAACCUGCCCUUAACUCUGGGAUAAGCCUGGGAAACUGGGUCUAAUACCGGAUAUGACUCCUCAUCGCAUGGUGGGGGGUGGAAAGCUUUAUUGUGGUUUUGGAUGGACUCGCGGCCUAUCAGCUUGUUGGUGAGGUAAUGGCUUACCAAGGCGACGACGGGUAGCCGGCCUGAGAGGGUGACCGGCCACACUGGGACUGAGACACGGCCCAGACUCCUACGGGAGGCAGCAGUGGGGAAUAUUGCACAAUGGGCGCAAGCCUGAUGCAGCGACGCCGCGUGAGGGAUGACGGCCUUCGGGUUGUAAACCUCUUUCAGUAGGGAAGAAGCGAAAGUGACGGUACCUGCAGAAGAAGCGCCGGCUAACUACGUGCCAGCAGCCGCGGUAAUACGUAGGGCGCAAGCGUUAUCCGGAAUUAUUGGGCGUAAAGAGCUCGUAGGCGGUUUGUCGCGUCUGCCGUGAAAGUCCGGGGCUCAACUCCGGAUCUGCGGUGGGUACGGGUAGACUAGAGUGAUGUAGGGGAGACUGGAAUUCCUGGUGUAGCGGUGAAAUGCGCAGAUAUCAGGAGGAACACCGAUGGCGAAGG
rnacentral:rRNA from 1 species